UGUCAUUAUUCGGUCAGUAUGGAGCUCGGUCUUCUUCCUCUUGUGCUCCUGCUGAUUUCAACCGUCCACUCUGCACACACUGAAGAAAGACCAAAACCCAAAAUGACCAUUAAACCUGCUCAACAUGUAUUCAGAGGAGAGACAGUCACUCUCAGAUGUGACAUAUAUGAUGAAGGAG